rnacentral:rRNA from 1 species
CCCUUAGACGUUCUGGGCCGCACGCGCGCUACACUGACACAGGCAACGAGCUUUCCUUUACCGAAAGGUAUGGGUAAUCUUUUGAAACUGUGUCGUGCUGGGGAUAGAUCCUUGCAAUUUUUGAUCUUAAACGAGGAAUUCCUAGUAAGCGCGAGUCAUCAACUCGCGUUGAUUACGUCCCUGCCCUUUGUACACACCGCCCGUCGCUACUACCGAUUGAAUGGCUUAGUGAGGCCUCAGGAUCCGCGCUUAAUGUGUGGAGAAUUUGAACAAACUACGUCAUUUAGAGGAAGUAAAAGUCGUAACA